UUCUAAUCCCGGCUUUGCCACGUGUCUGUUGCGUGACCUCGGGCGUCCGACACCCCUGAUCGUGUUGUCACGAACCUUCAUCUCCUCCGCCUCGAUUUGAUAUGAGCCCUUCGGAAUGAUAACCUUUUGGGAUCCAUCACAGACUGCUCCCUUUCUGGAUUCUUUCUUCUGCAUCUGCCUCAGUCUGACUCCACGGGAGGGUUGUACAUAUUUCCGUUUGUACCGGAGAAUUUUCCUCCAACCUCCUCUCCGGUGGAUAAACCCUUUCCAAGCCUGGCGAUGAAUACGUUUGAUUGAGAAAUGGGCGUCGUCAGGCACAAGAGCACCAAAUGGAACUGAGAAAAACGGGAAGCAUCUUCUUCCUUCCUCGGCUUCUCGGUUUCAAAAGCAUUUCUUGGUAAAUCUCAGUCCCGUAAUUACAACUUUAAAAGUGAUGAUUAAACAGUGUUUGCCACCAAA